CAGUAAGGAAUAUUGGUCAAUGGAGGCAACUCUGAACCAGCCAUGCCGCGUGCAGGAAGACAGCCCUCUGGGUCGUAAACUGCUUUUAUUCGGGAAUAAACCUAUUUACGUGUAAGUAGCUGAAUGUACCGAAGGAAUAAGGAUCGGCUAACUCCGUGCCAGCAGCCGCGGUAAUACGGAGGAUCCAAGCGUUAUCCGGAUUUAUUGGGUUUAAAGGGUGCGUAGGCGGCUUAUUAAGUCAGGGGUGAAAGACGGUGGCUCAACCAUCGCAGUGCCCUUGAUACUGAUGAGCUUGAAUGAACUAGAGGUAGGCGGAAUGUGACAAGUAGCGGUGAAAUGCAUAGAUAUGUCACAGAACACCGAUUGCGAAGGCAGCUUACUAUGGUUUUAUUGACGCUGAGGCACGAAAGCGUGGGGAUCAAACAGGAUUAGA
rnacentral:rRNA from 1 species